UUUGUCUUUCAAAGAUUGUCUUUGAGUAAAUACUACUGGUCUGUCAAAGUGGGUCAUUUAACUUCAAUCCUAGACCAGCUGAAAGUUACCAACAUUGACUCAGGCACACAACAAUAACUUUGGGUAUCCACAUCGAUUCAAACUAUUUUCUAAAUAAAUGUUUUUUGUAACAAAUAUUGUACAUAAUUGCUGGGUAUUGAAAUGUGUAACAUUGUAUGUAUGUGUAAGGAAUGUUAACAUUCAAGUAUUGAUGAUUUAAAAAUAUUGACUGACAAACAUUUAGCAGUACUAUGUUUAAAUUCAGAUAUGUGCAUUGGUUUUGUCCAUGUGGAGUUUAUAUUUAAGAAAAAAAGUUGGUCCAUAUUCUCAUAAUGUGGAAUGACAAAACUGGACU